rnacentral:rRNA from 1 species
UGGGGGAUAUUGCACAAUGGGCGAAAGCCUGAUGCAGCGACGCCGCGUGGGGGAUGAAGGCCUUCGGGUUGUAAACUUCUUUUGCUCUGAACAAGGCAUGCUAAUGGGUGUGUUGAGUGUAGGGGUUGAUUAGCGCCGGCUAACUACGUGCCAGCAGCCGCGGUAAUACGUAGGGCGCAAGCGUUGUCCGGAAUUAUUGGGCGUAAAGGGCUUGUAGGUGGCUGGUUGCGUCUGUCGUGAAAGCUCAUGGCUUAACUGUGGGUUUGCGGUGGGUACGGGCUGGCUUGAGUGCAGUAGGGGAGGCUGGAAUUCCUGGUGUAGCGGUGGAAUGCGCAGAUAUCAGGAGGAAUACCGGUGGCGAAGGCGGGUCUCUGGGCUGUUACUGACACUGAGGAGCGAAAGCAUGGGGAGCGAACAGG